GGGAGCAAGUCUGCUCAAGGAGUAGGAGCUUUGGCCCGGUGAUCACCCUCAAAGACUUCCCCAGGCUGGCUUAGGGGUGACCUCGCCUGGCAGCCCCCAAGGAAGGAACUGGGUGGACUGAAUGAACAGUGUCCCUCUCUGUCUGAACCCACCAGGAGAAGUUAAAAUGAAAAGUAAGGGAGGGAAGGCGCUACUAGAGGACCUGGGCAGCUUUAGGUACAGUACCAGGCACGUAGGAGGAUUUCCAUGACCAAGCCAUGAAAGCAGAAAUUGGCUUUUCCUUUCCAGAUUUAUCCAAUAUUCAGAAAAGGGAAUCUAGCACCUGCUUUCCUGAUUUGAACACACUCAGAAUUCAGGGGUGCUCAAGCUCAAUUUAGGCUGCUGUUACUUCAUUUCUCCCAAAUCAAAUAUGUUGAUCCACUGUAACUUGCUGUAGAAAAACUGGAUAAAAUUGAGCAACACAUGCUGGGGUCUUCCCAGUGCUAACUAGGACUGGAAUUGCUAUUUUCAACAGCCAUUACCAUUUUUUCUUUAGUUUUGUUUAAAAGGAAGACAAUAAUAGUGCACUGGCAAAUUCCCCAUAGAAAUGAAGAGUGGAAGACAAGAAUAACAAAGGUACUUCAACUUUUCCUCAUUUAUGUAGGACAGUCUUAUAAUAUGGAUCCAAAUAGCCUCCAAUCACACAAGCUGAAAAUUGUUCCACUUUACUGCAGUUCUGUAACCAGGCGGGAACCAGUCCUGUCUGUGUUCUAUACACAUCCAAAAUUCCUACUGAAUUCAGAAGUGCCUUGCUUUUGUGACCAUACUACCAGAUAUUUUCAGCUCUCGUAUUUCAUACGUGAACCAGAAUGGAACCUCAGCCAUGAUUCUGUUGAACUGACUGAACCUGAACUGAACAGAAAAACAAACCAAAGUAAUGACAGUUGGGCUCCUUGCCAGCUGUUGCUAGCAGUGACUCUGGUUUCACACAGAAUCCUGC